CCCUUCCCUUGACCGGGGAGGAUGAGAACCGGGAGGUUCGACGAGGCGGCGAAGCCGCUUCGAACGUCGCGCGAAGCGCGGCGGCCCGGAGGGCGGAAGGCCGCAGGCCUGGAGUAAUCCUCCCCCCUCCACCA
rnacentral:sRNA from 1 species